CAUGGAGGGUGAGAAUCCCGUCCGGUUGACCUUCAGGACGUUUUACGAUACGCUCUCAAAGAGUCGAGUUGUUUGGGAUUGCAGCUCAAAAUGGGAGGUAAAUUUCUCCUAAGGCUAAAUACAGGCGAGAGACCGAUAGCGAACAAGUACCGUGAGGGAAAGAUGAAAAGAAUUUUGAAAAGAAAGUUAAACAGUACGUGAAAUUGUUGAAAGGGAAACGAUUGAAGCCAGUCGUACCGACGGGAAAUCAACUUCUCGAGUGCCUAUCGUGGGUGACGUUGAGCUUCACGGCCUUCGUUGCUUGUGUUGUUGGUGCUUUUGGGGUGUACUUUUCCGUAUGGUAGGUCAUCAUCGAUUUUGAUCGUCAUAAAAUGAUCGGGGGAAUGUAGCUUCGGUCUCGUAUCGGAGUGUUAUAGACCUUGGUAGAUGUGACGAUUGGGAUCGAGGAUUGCAACGAAUACCCUUUUGGGCUAUCCGUCUGUCCUCUGAAAGUCGCUCGGGGGUCGAAAGCGUGCUUAUGAUCAUUCGAGUUGGCGGUCAACAGGAUAGAACGUGAUUAUAUUCGUUAAGGAUGUUGACGUAAUGG
rnacentral:rRNA from 1 species